rnacentral:pre_miRNA from 1 species
UAUUUCAAAUGCAAAAAUCAUAAACAACAAAAUUGUAGAACUCAUCAUGAUCUACAACUUUUAUUUUGGUCAUUUGUUCAUUCGACAAAGUGAUUUGAACAUUGUUCACAAAAUAUACAUAUCUCUUAUAUGGUUUUAUAAACUAUAAGAGAGAUAUGUAUAUUUUUUGAACAAUGUUACUAUAACUUUGUCAGAUGAAGAAAUGACCAAAAUAAACGUUAUAGAUAUUGAUGAGUUAUACAACUUUGUUGUUGAUGAGUUUUUUAGUUGAAAUC